rnacentral:rRNA from 1 species
AGCAGCCGCGGUAAUUCCAGCUCCAAUAGCAUAUAUUAAAGUUGCUGCAGUUAAAAAGCUCGUAGUUGACGGAUGGGGGAGGCGGGGCGGAGAGAUUGAAAGAUUUCUUGGGCUCCGGCUGCCCUUUUGCUUGGGCGAGGGCGUGCCAUUGAGUUGGUGCGGCCUUGUACAUGCCCAAGCGGAUUACUUUGAGGAAAG